GUGCUGGCUUUGGCAGCACAUAUGCUAAAAUUGGAACAAUACAGAGGGUAGCGUGGCCCCUGUGCAAGGACUACAUGCAAAUUCGUGGAGUGUUCCAUAUUUUU